rfam:Staphylococcus capitis strain CR03 genome assembly, contig: BN1517_Contig_1
ACUAUGAUCCGCUGCUAUACUUUUGUCUAGGCAAGAACAUAGG